rnacentral:rRNA from 1 species
AUAUCAGUCAUGCAUAGUAUAUCAAUAAGCGGAGGAAAAGAAACUAACAAGGAUUCCCCUAGUAACUGCGAGUGAAGCGGGAAGAGCUCAAAUUUGAAAUCUUAAAAGGUUUUCCUUUUACGAAUUGUAGUUUAAAGAAGUGUUUUCUGUUGAAAAUUUUAGUAAAAGUUCUUUGGAAUAGGACAUCAUAGAGGGUGAGAAUCCCGUAUUUGACUAGAAUUUUUUCAACUUUGUGAUACACUUUCAAAGAGUCGGAUUGUUUGGGAAUGCAGUCCAAAAUGGGUGGUAAAUUUCAUCUAAAACUAAAUAUUGGCGAGAGACCGAUAGCGAACAAGUACCGUGAGGGAAAGAUGAAAAGAACUUUGAAAAGAGAGUUAAAUAGUACGUGAAAUUGUCAAAAGGGAAGCGUUUGGCACCAGUGUUGUUUUUUCUAAAAAUCAAUUUAAAAUUUACUUAUGCUAAGUAUUUUUAGACUUAUCAGCUAUAUAUUUAAUUUUUUUGUAAUUUUUGAAUGCACUUUUUAGUUAACAAGUCAACAUCAAUUUCUUUUGUUGUAAAAAAAUAAGAGGAAGGUGGCUUGGGAAUUUCUUUUCAAGUGUUUAUAGCCUUUUAUUUCUGCAAUAGGAGGGAUUGAGGUCUGCAGCAUAGAUCCUUCGGGGCUAGAUGCAUUUGUCGCUAGAAGUCAGUAUUAUAUAAACAACUUGUUGAUUAUGUAAGUAUGUCGAUUUUUACUCGGGAGUGUUAUUUUACCUACGCUUAGGAUGUUGACGCAUGAGAUAUACGC